UCCUCAAAAUGUGGCAGUGGUACAGCCUGCACAAGCCCCUUCAGGCCGACCCACAAGCUAGGACCGGCCAAGAGAGGAAAAUGGUGUAGGAGGCGUACACCAGGAGGAGGACAUCACCACCAAGUCCCUGAAGCGCUUAAAGCGAGAGAGAAGCCUCCACCGGAUGCCACUCCUCAUGCCGCCACUUCCAGCUCUUCAAGAAGAGAACCAGGAUCAGUCAGAGUUUUGAUGCCAGCAACUGCCACCUUCCAGUCGUCAUGGUCAGAUGAUGCUAUGGAUGGUCUUGGUGGAUGCCCUCGUCACUUUUGAGAGCCAGAGGGAGCUCUUGCCCAUCUCCACCAGCCAGCAUGUGUCUGCCAGGAGUCCUGAACAGCUGCCGCUCUCCACCAGCGUGCCAGCAACUGCAGAGCAUCCUGAGCAGUCUCAUUUGUAUACCAGCAAGAAGGCAAAGCGCAGCAAGCACAAGAAGCCCCUGCUGUCCUCCACAAGCAAGGCUGCGUCUGAUUAGUGUCCAGAGCAGCCAACGUCUAGUGUGCAUCCAGAGCAGCUGAUGCUCCUGCCAUCCUCAGCACCUGGGAGUCUCCCCCUGAUGCUCACCCCGAGGAGCCGCCAACCUCCAACAGCCAGACUGCGUCUGCCACCACCUUGCAGCAGAGUGACUAUUCUGUGGAGCUGGAAGGCUGGGUGCGGCUGUGGAAAGACUCCAAUGGCAUCCCAUCUACAGACAUCCCCUGGCUGAAGGAGGACAGCGAGAGAGGCCUAUUUACGCCUGUCAGGCAACACAUACCUAUCCAAGUCUGGUUACCAUAUCCAGAUUCCAGGAAUAAAAGUCGUUUAAAGGAAAGGGGAAAGUUCCAAGCACCAUGAAGUACAGCAAAGCACCUAAGGCCCAGACGUUUGCUGGCAUGACGUGGACUUUACUGCCUGUUUGGGUCUCAGGCGGGGUGCAGCAUGGAGCUCCUGUACACAAAACAUCAUGUUGAGUCAUUUUGUAAAAGAUGACCCUGCACUGACAACAGGUUUCAAUACUCCGGUAUAUAAAAAAAUUCAGCUCACCUACGUACG